rnacentral:rRNA from 1 species
CCUACGGGGGGCAGCAGUGGGGAAUAUUGGACAAUGGGCGAAAGCCUGAUCCAGCCAUGCCGCGUGUGUGAAGAAGGCCUUCGGGUUGUAAAGCACUUUCAGUGGGGAAGAAAGCCUUGGGGCUAAUACCCUCGAGGAAGGACAUCACCCACAGAAGAAGCACCGACUAACUCCGUGCCAGCAGCCGCGGUAAUACGGAGGGUGCGAGCGUUAAUCGGAAUUACUGGGCGUAAAGCGCGCGUAGGCGGUCUGAUAAGCCGGUUGUGAAAGCCCCGGGCUCAACCUGGGAACGGCAUCCGGAACUGUCAGGCUAGAGUGCAGGAGAGGAAGGUAGAAUUCCCGGUGUAGCGGUGAAAUGCGUAGAGAUCGGGAGGAAUACCAGUGGCGAAGGCGGCCUUCUGGACUGACACUGACGCUGAGGUGCGAAAGCGUGGGUAGCAAACAGGAUUAGAUACCCUAGUAGUC